UACGUAGGGAGCAAGCGUUGUCCGGAAUCAUUGGGCGUAAAGCGCGCGUAGGCGGCCCCGUAAGUCCGCUGUGAAAGUCAAAGGCUCAACCUUUGAAAGCCGGUGGAUACUGUGGGGCUAGAGUCCGGAAGAGGCGAGUGGAAUUCCUGGUGUAGCGGUGGAAUGCGCAGAUAUCAGGAGGAACACCUAUAGCGAAGGCAGCUUGCUGGGACGUUACUGACGCUGAGACGCGAAAGCGUGGGGAGCAAACAGG
rnacentral:rRNA from 1 species